GUCCUGGCCUUAAACGAUGGAUGCUUGGUGUCUGGAGUUUUAUAGUCUCCGGGUGCCGUAGCUAACGCGUUAAGCAUCCCGCCUGGGGAGUACGGUCGCAAGACUGAAACUCAAAGGAAUUGACGGGGACCCGCACAAGCGGUGGAGCAUGUGGUUCAAUUCGACGCAACGCGAAGAACCUUACCUGGGCUAGAAUGCCUCUGACAACUCCAGAGAUGGAGCUUUCUAGGGAAACCUAGACGGAGUGCAAGGUGCUGCAUGGCUGUCGU
rnacentral:rRNA from 1 species